CCGGGGCUAUGGUCGCGGCGCCCCCCGGGGGGGGAGGUUGAGGGGGGUGGGGUAGCAAGCCGGGAGCCCCGGGAGACGGGGGGAGAGAGGGCAGCGAGGGAGAGGAACAGAGGAAGCGCGCGGGGAGGGGACGGCAGGCGCGGCCGGGGGCCCGGUGCGAGGCCAAGAGAUGGAGGCUGGACCGGGGGGAGCCCAGAAACUUCCAGAGCCCCGGGAAGGAGCCCAGCCACGAGCCGGGGCCGGGGGCCUGCGAAGGCCCCGAAGUGAGGCGGCCGCGCGGAGGCCGAGCGGGUUGAGGCGGAGAGGAGGAGCGAGGGGAGAGGAAGGCCGGGCGGCCGGCCCGCUCCGCGCCUCCCCCGGCCGGGCUGGGCUCCCGCGGCCGCCGGGAAGCAGGGAGCGCGCGGGGCGGACGCAGGGAGAAGUGAGCAGUUGUUUUCCCUGGCUGCGGCGCGGCGGCGGCGGCGAAGGGGGCUGGGACGCUGGCCCCGGGCCAGGGAGACAGUUUUUUUUUUUUUUUUUUUUUUUUUUUUUUUCCAGUUUCUAGCGUCGCCGCUGCCGCCCGGAGGAGCGAGGGCGUGCGGGCGGGCGGAGGCCGGGGUGGGUGGGGGGCGGUCCCCACCCCAGAUGCCCGCCCCGCCGGAACCCGCCGCCGCCGCCGCGCUGGGCGCCUGCCAGAGGGCCCUCACCUGGGCCGCCGGCCGGGCCGCCGGAUUCCUCCGGGCGGGGCGGCGAGGCCGCGUCAGAGCGGGAAACCGAGGCUGGGGGAGGAAUUCGGGGGCCCGGCCGGGUCACGCGGCCGCCGGGGCGGCCAGGUGGGGCUGGAACCCAGGCCUCUCAGCCCUUUCCCAGCCUCCCUUGCGCACGUGGGGGGCUCACCACCCCAGAGUCACUUCUCAUUAGUGCCGCUCCACUCGCCUCCGAGGAGGGGGCUCCAGGAGAGGGCACCCUUGGGCCAGGGGCUCCGAGAGCCGGAAGAGGGGCCGAAAGAACGAAGCUGGAGGCCCGGCUUCCCUGCCAACACCCCCCCCCCCAAUGGCUUCCUGGUGCCCACCCUGCCCCCACCCCCUUCGCCUUGUCUGGCCGGGCUGGCGGGGCUGGCUCUGGGCCUCAGACACUCUGGAAUCGCCAAGGUCUGAGCUCAGGGCCUGGCCCCCUUCCCAGGCUAACAGCCGGGAGGAGGGGGGUGCUGCUUGAGGGCCCAGGGGGCUGGGGAGGGGCACAGCAGGGCCCCAGGGCAGGGGUUGGCAGGGGCUGGGGAGGGGCCUUGGGUUUGGUAAAAAGCUUCAGAGGAGCCAGGCCUGUCCACUGGUCUGGAAAGGAGAAGCCCUGGAGGCCUGCUGUGUCCUGGGGCCCCAACUGUGCGACAGGGCCCGGCCAGGAGACCCCAGGAUUCAGUGCCUGACUCACAGAACUCAGCAGGGGGUGGGUGUGACCAGGGUAUCCUGAGCAGCUCGCUGCCAAGUCAGAGCAGCACCAAACCCUCUCCUGUUGGGCCCUGGGGGUGGCAGUCUGACCGGGGGAGGGGGUUCAGGGACUUGCCUUUAGGAACACCUGUCCAAGGAACUCAUGGUUUUUUACUGCGAGGGUGGAUUUAUUUGGAUAGCUUUGGAGGGACUGAGGGAAACCCUUAAGUGGAGCCCCUGCCUGAAGUGCCCAGUGGGCUCUGACCUGUUCAUACAGCCUGGUGUUGCAGGGACGGGAUGAGGCCGUGUCCUCAAGGGAUCCCUACUGCUGGAAUCCCAAAGUGGAUAUGAGAGACAGCCCCACCCUCCCUCGGGGCUCAGAUCACACACUGAGGCAGGGAAUAAUAGUGAGCGCUUACCACCUGCCAGGUUCAGGGCUGAGCCGUCCCUAGUCAUUUUUUCCUCCUACUCAUUUGAACCCGACCCUCCUCUGUUGAGAACAGGCUGUGGCUCCCCUUGGAACACAGCACAAACAGACCAGGGUUGGGGUCUUAAUCUCUCCAAGCCCCAGUUCUCUCACCUGCGAAAUGGGGCUCUGUUCAUUCAACCAACCGAGAAUCCACCAGGUACCAAGCUCUUGCUAAGGUAUAGGACCCAUCCCUGCCUCACCUGGAGCCUCUGUAGAGGAGGAGACUGACAGGCGACAAGUCAAUUCACACGUGCCUGUGGCUACAAUAGAGGCCUGCCGCUGCUGUGGUGGGACCUGGAGGUCCAGGAAGCCCCUCUGGCAAAGGGACUUCUAAGCCGAAAGCUGGAAGAGGAACAGGAGUUCAUGGGGUGGGACUGUAUCAGGGCAAGAGGGGGUGUUGCUGCCAUCACCUCAGAAGAGAUGCUACAUCCUGGGCACAGUGGAGAUGUAUUUGGGAGGUGGAAUCUAGACACUGGAAUCACAGCUGUGCAUCAUAGACCACACUUGGUACCAUGUGAACCUGACCUCCAAAUGAGGCAGUCAAGGGUGGCUGCUAUUGAGUUGUGCGAGCAUAUCUGCCACCAUGGUGUUUGCUGCCACUGAGGAAUGGGCCUAACUACUGCCAUGUCAGCAGUGCCACAGAGAUUUUACACCAAACAUGGGGCUCGAACUCACAACCCUGAGAUCAAGAGUCGCCUGCUGUACCAACUGAGCCAGCCAGGUGCCCCAGUGACUUUUUAAAACUGGUCUACCUAAACCCCACCCCUCUCAUCCUGAUCAUUACAAAGGACAUAGCCAAGAGGAGAUGGUCCCAUCCUGGGGACAGCCACAUUGAGUGACUGAACUGCUGUACUGAGUUGUGUGGACCGGGGGGGAGGGCCAGAAAUGUUUUUGGGCUUAUUAUUUCUUUAAGUAAACUCUACCCCCAACGUGGGGCUUGAACUCCCCGCCCCAAGAUCAGGAGUUGCAUGCUUUUUGAGUUUAGUUUUGAGGAAACUACUUCAACACUCAACAGUGCCACCUGCCUGCGGAUGAUAGCAUGAAAGGGCCACCAAAUCCCUAGACCAUCAGCCCCUUGUUGCGUGGCUUUUGGGAUAACAGUUGCCCUGUUCCUACGCUACAGAUCAUCCAGAAAGUAAAAUGCACAGAUGAGUCUCAAGAACCACAAUGAUGUGGCCAAAGCUGCCUGGCUGGACUGGCACAGCACCACCGUACCCUGAAAAAGGCACCGCCGAGAGCCCCAAGAAGGAGUGAAAGGUUCUAUGUAGUCAAUUCCCCCGGAGAGAACAGGGGCGACACUACCUACGCUGUGGCCUCCCUCGUCGUAGGACACACAGAUGAACGUUCGGCAGGAGUCACAAGUUUGGCAGGGAGUGGUGGCCUCUGUACCAGAAGCCUAGAAUCUUCUACUUUGUGCCCCCUCUAUGGUGGUGGACGUGUUGCGUAUGAUGAAAGACCCGGGAAGAAAUGGAGACAACCUGGGUGAUGCAGGACCGAUCAACAGCUUGAUUCUUGCCAGUCUCCUUAGAGAAUGGCCCAUAGCAUGGGCAGCUACAUGAGCGAUCUGUAUUGAGCAGCCGUGGUUUGUUUCCACAGUUAGCUGAAAGCAUUGCCAUGCGAAGCCCCCUAUUGGGCGGCAGGGUUACUAUCACUGGCAUUGACCUCACGUGUGGGGACUCCCUGACAUAGCAACCACAGCCACAUUGCUUUCUGGCUGCAGCUGCCAAGUUCACACCCUUUGGCUAACCUGGGCCUGAGCUGGUCAGUCCAGCAAAAGGUUUGCCAAUUUUGUUGAUCUUUGCAAUGAACUAAUAUGUAGGUUAGUUGAUUUUCUCUAAUCUUUACUGUAGCUUUUCUUUUGCUUGCUUUGGGUUUAGCUUAUUCUUCUUUCUCUAUUUUCUUAAAAAAUUUUUUUUUAAUGUUUAUUUAUAUUUGAGAGAGAGAGAGAGAGGAAAACGCAA